rnacentral:lncRNA from 1 species
UGAAAAAUUGUAAAAAAGUUUUAUGGAGAAAGAAGAAUGUAUGAGACAAUAAUGACUAAAUAUGAGUGAGUCUAAAUAUUUCAUGACGAAGAUUGUAGGGAAAUAAUGAAUAAGUGGCAUGGAGCAUUUCUCAAAAACAUCUGGGUAGAUUUCUAGUUCAAAUAGUUUGGAAUGGAAUGAUUGAAGGAAUGAUAAAUUUUAGACAUUUUUUCUAGUCAUUUCCAAAUUAGAAUACAAAUUUCAUUCUAUUCNGACGAAGAUUAUAGGGAAAUAAUGAAUAAGUGGAAUGGAGCAUUUCUCAAAAACAUCUGGGUAGAUUUCUAGUUCAAAUAGUUUGGAAUGGAAUGAUUGAAGGAAUGAUAAAUUUUAGACAUUUUUUCUAGUCAUUUCCAAAUUAGAAUACAAAUUUCAUUCUAUUCUCU